AAGAAGAGAGAGGGAGAGCGCUGACCCAGGCAAGAGAGAGUGGAAAGGCCCGGCCGGAGGCCGGCGCGCCGCGGCCGGGACCGGGGCGAGCCCGCGGUGGGCGGUGGGGAUUGGCUGCGCGUUCCCCCGGAGACCGUGCGGCAGGCGGGGGAGGGGGCUGGCCGGGCCCCAGCUGAGGCCGGUUCCGGCCCCCGCCCCCCGCCACCGCCCGGCGCCCGCCCCCUCCCCCGGCGCCCGCCCCCCGCCGCCGCCGCCGCCGCCGCCGCCGCGGGCGCACUCGCCGGUCGCAGUGAAAAGGCGGAGGCGGCGGCCGCUCCGGCUCCCACUGCCUCCCCCGCCGCACCCCCUCCUCACCUCUCGCACCCGCCAAACUUGAUGUGACCCUGGCCCGACGCGGCUGCUGCCCCUCUCACCGCCCCGCGGGUCCCCCGCCACCCGCUCCGCCCCCGCGAGCGCACUGCUCCCCGCGCCCCUUCCCACUCCCCGCGGGGCCGGCGCCGCGCUCGCCCUCGCGUUCCUUCCCGCCGCCCCCUCCCCCGCACCAUGAGCAACCUGAAGCCGGACGGCGAGCACGGCGGCAGCACCGGCACCGGCUCCAGCGCGGGCUCCGGCGGCGCCCUGGAGGAGGAGGUCCGGACACUGUUUGUCAGCGGCCUCCCUGUGGACAUUAAACCCAGAGAACUCUACUUGCUCUUCCGGCCGUUCAAGGGGUAUGAAGGGUCCCUGAUCAAGCUCACCGCGAGACAGCCUGUUGGUUUUGUGAUCUUUGACAGCCGGGCAGGAGCAGAAGCAGCCAAGAAUGCACUGAACGGUAUUCGUUUUGAUCCCGAGAAUCCACAGACCCUGAGGCUAGAGUUUGCCAAAGCCAACACCAAGAUGGCCAAGAGCAAGCUAAUGGCAACCCCAAAUCCCAGCAACGUGCACCCCGCCCUAGGAGCACACUUCGUCGCACGGGACCCCUAUGACCUGAUGGGGGCUGCUCUGAUCCCUGCAUCUCCAGAGGCCUGGGCCCCCUACCCUUUGUACACCACAGAGCUGGCCCCAGCCAUCUCCCAUGCUGCGUUCACCUAUCCAGCUGCCACUGCCGCUGCCGCCGCCCUCCAUGCUCAGGUGCGCUGGUACCCUUCCUCUGACACCACCCAGCAAGGAUGGAAGUACCGUCAGUUCUGUUAGUUCUUCAAUUGUGACAUCCAAGGCAGGAACCUUGCCUGGUUGAUUACGGAGUAUUCUUGGACUUAGCACAUGCCUGGAGCACACAUAGUAUUUUGCCUUUGAGUAACUGUCCCCAGCUCCAGUGCUGCAGGCACAUUGUUCCAGGGCCUCUGUGGUGCUCCUGAUGCCCCUCACCCACUGUCGAAGAUCCCCGGUGGGCGAGGGGGCGGCAGGGAUCCUUCUCUCUCAGCUCUAAUAUAUAAGGACGAGAAGCUCACUGUGACCCAGGACCUCCCUGUGAAUGAUGGAAAACCUCACAUCGUCCACUUCCAGUAUGAGGUCACCGAGGUGAAGGUCUCUUCUUGGGAUGCAGUCCUGUCCAGCCAGAGCCUGUUUGUAGAAAUCCCAGAUGGAUUAUUAGCUGAUGGGAGCAAAGAAGGAUUGUUAGCACUGCUAGAGUUUGCUGAAGAGAAGAUGAAAGUGAACUAUGUCUUCAUCUGCUUCAGGAAGGGCCGAGAAGACAGAGCUCCACUCCUGAAGACCUUCAGCUUCUUGGGCUUUGAGAUUGUACGUCCAGGCCAUCCCUGUGUCCCCUCUCGGCCAGAUGUGAUGUUCAUGGUUUAUCCCCUGGACCAGAACUUGUCCGAUGAGGACUAAUAGUCAUAGAGGAUGCUUUGCCCAAGACCAACAGUGGGGGAAGAGGGGAAGUUAGGCAGCCCUGGGACAGACGAGAGGGCUCCUCGCUGUCUAGGGAAGGACACUGAGGGGCUCAGGAUGAGGGUUGCCUGUUGUGUUCUCGGAGUUGACUCGUUGAAAUUGUUUUCCAUAAAGAACAGUAUAAACAUAUUAUUCAUAUGUAAUCACCAAUAGUAAAUGAAGAUGUUUAUGAACUGGCAUUAGAAGCUUUUUAAACUGCGCUGUGUGAUGUGUUCUAUCUAGCCUAGGGGAGGACAUUGCCUAGAGGGGGAGGGACUGUCUGGGUUCAGGGGCAUGGCCUGGAGGGCUGGUGGGCAGCACUGUCAGGCUCAGGUUUCCCUGCUGUUGGCUUUCUGUUUUGGUUAUUAAGACUGUGUAUUUUCUUUCUUUGCUUCCUGUCACCCCAGGGGCUCCUGAGUAUAGGCUUUUCAGUCCCUGGGCAGUGUCCUUGAGUUGUUUUUUGACACUCUUACCUGGGCUUCUCUGUGUGCAUUUGUGUCUGGCCUGGAGUAAGCAGGUCAGACCCCUCCUUCUUUACAGCUUAGUGUUAUUCUGGCAUUUGGUUAAGCUGGCUUAAUCUGUUUAAUGUUAUCAGUACAUUUUAAGUAGGGGCAUUGAAAUUUAUUCCCACCACCAGGGCUUUUUAGGGGGAUGCCUGGGCCAUAAAAACACUAGCCAAACUCUAAUUCUCAAAUCACUGCCAGGAGUUAUUGCUCCUGGCUGCAGGCCCAGGCCCCAAGGUCUCCUUCCUGGGGUCACAAAGAGCAGAGAGGAAGAGGAAUAUAUAGCAACUCAGGGCCUGGGAAUUGUGGGGGAAUCUGUUCUUAGGGACUGGAUGCCUCUGGCUGGCUGAGUAUAGCACUAGCUGCCUCCCCACCAGGUUCUGAGUAGUGCCUGAGACCCUGCUCUGCAGGGCCUAGGGUAGCGCUGGGAGUGUAGAAGUGGUCUGCCCUUAACUGUUUUCACUAAACAGAUUUUUCUAAGGGGAGAGGAAGUGGGAAGAGAUCUAGAUUUGGUGAGGGGGACAGGGAUGUCAGGGAGGCAAGUGUGUUGUGUUACUGUGUCAAUAAACUGAUUUAAAGUUGU